rnacentral:rRNA from 1 species
UACGUAGGGGGCAAGCGUUGUCCGGAAUCAUUGGGCGUAAAGAGCGUGUAGGCGGCCCGAUAAGUCCGCUGUGAAAGUCCAGGGCUCAACCCUGGGAUGCCGGUGGAUACUGUCGGGCUCGAGUCCGGAAGAGGAGUGUGGAAUUCCUGGUGUAGCGGUGAAAUGCGCAGAUAUCAGGAGGAACACCAAUGGCGAAGGCAGCACUCUGGGACGUGACUGACGCUGAGACGCGAAAGCGUGGGGAGCAAGCAGG